GGGUUGUGAGGUUAAGCGACUAAGCGUACACGGUGGAUGCCCUGGCAGUCAGAGGCGAUGAAGGACGUGCUAAUCUGCGAUAAGCGUCGGUAAGGUGAUAUGAACCGUUAUAACCGGCGAUUUCCGAAUGGGGAAACCCAGUGUGAUUCGUCACACUAUCAUUAACUGAAUCCAUAGGUUAAUGAGGCGAACCGGGGGAACUGAAACAUCUAAGUACCCCGAGGAAAAGAAAUCAACCGAGAUUCCCCCAGUAGCGGCGAGCGAACGGGGAGCAGCCCAGAGCCUGAAUCAGUGUGUGUGUUAGUGGAAGCGUCUGGAAAGGCGCGCGAUACAGGGUGACAGCCCCGUACACAAAAAUGCACAUGCUGUGAGCUCGAUGAGUAGGGCGGGACACGUGGUAUCCUGUCUGAAUAUGGGGGGACCAUCCUCCAAGGCUAAAUACUCCUGACUGACCGAUAGUGAACCAGUACCGUGAGGGAAAGGCGAAAAGAACCCCGGCGAGGGGAGUGAAAAAGAACCUGAAACCGUGUACGUACAAGCAGUGGGAGCACGCUUAGGCGUGUGACUGCGUACCUUUUGUAUAAUGGGUCAGCGACUUAUAUUCUGUAGCAAGGUUAACCGAAUAGGGGAGCCGAAGGGAAACCGAGUCUUAACUGGGCGUUAAGUUGCAGGGUAUAGACCCGAAACCCGGUGAUCUAGCCAUGGGCAGGUUGAAGGUUGGGUAACACUAACUGGAGGACCGAACCGACUAAUGUUGAAAAAUUAGCGGAUGACUUGUGGCUGGGGGUGAAAGGCCAAUCAAACCGGGAGAUAGCUGGUUCUCCCCGAAAGCUAUUUAGGUAGCGCCUCGUGAAUUCAUCUCCGGGGGUAGAGCACUGUUUCGGCAAGGGGGUCAUCCCGACUUACCAACCCGAUGCAAACUGCGAAUACCGGAGAAUGUUAUCACGGGAGACACACGGCGGGUGCUAACGUCCGUCGUGAAGAGGGAAACAACCCAGACCGCCAGCUAAGGUCCCAAAGUCAUGGUUAAGUGGGAAACGAUGUGGGAAGGCCCAGACAGCCAGGAUGUUGGCUUAGAAGCAGCCAUCAUUUAAAGAAAGCGUAAUAGCUCACUGGUCGAGUCGGCCUGCGCGGAAGAUGUAACGGGGCUAAACCAUGCACCGAAGCUGCGGCAGCGACGCUGAUGCGUUGUUGGGUAGGGGAGCGUUCUGUAAGCCUGCGAAGGUGUGCUGUGAGGCACGCUGGAGGUAUCAGAAGUGCGAAUGCUGACAUAAGUAACGAUAAAGCGGGUGAAAAGCCCGCUCGCCGGAAGACCAAGGGUUCCUGUCCAACGUUAAUCGGGGCAGGGUGAGUCGACCCCUAAGGCGAGGCCGAAAGGCGUAGUCGAUGGGAAACAGGNUGUGGGAAGGCCCAGACAGCCAGGAUGUUGGCUUAGAAGCAGCCAUCAUUUAAAGAAAGCGUAAUAGCUCACUGGUCGAGUCGGCCUGCGCGGAAGAUGUAACGGGGCUAAACCAUGCACCGAAGCUGCGGCAGCGACACUAUGUGUUGUUGGGUAGGGGAGCGUUCUGUAAGCCUGUGAAGGUGUACUGUGAGGUAUGCUGGAGGUAUCAGAAGUGCGAAUGCUGACAUAAGUAACGAUAAAGCGGGUGAAAAGCCCGCUCGCCGGAAGACCAAGGGUUCCUGUCCAACGUUAAUCGGGGCAGGGUGAGUCGACCCCUAAGGCGAGGCCGAAAGGCGUAGUCGAUGGGAAACAGGUUAAUAUUCCUGUACUUGGUGUUACUGCGAAGGGGGGACGGAGAAGGCUAUGUUGGCCGGGCGACGGUUGUCCCGGUUUAAGCGUGUAGGCUGGUUUUCCAGGCAAAUCCGGAAAAUCAAGGCUGAGGCGUGAUGACGAGGCACUACGGUGCUGAAGCAACAAAUGCCCUGCUUCCAGGAAAAGCCUCUAAGCAUCAGGUAACAUCAAAUCGUACCCCAAACCGACACAGGUGGUCAGGUAGAGAAUACCAAGGCGCUUGAGAGAACUCGGGUGAAGGAACUAGGCAAAAUGGUGCCGUAACUUCGGGAGAAGGCACGCUGAUAUGUAGGUGAAGUCCCUCGCGGAUGGAGCUGAAAUCAGUCGAAGAUACCAGCUGGCUGCAACUGUUUAUUAAAAACACAGCACUGUGCAAACACGAAAGUGGACGUAUACGGUGUGACGCCUGCCCGGUGCCGGAAGGUUAAUUGAUGGGGU
rnacentral:rRNA from 1 species